rnacentral:rRNA from 1 species
UACGUAGGGAGCAAGCGUUGUCCGGAAUCAUUGGGCGUAAAGCGCGCGUAGGUGGCCUCAUAAGUCCGCUGUGAAAGUCAAAGGCUCAACCUUUGAAAGCCGGUGGAUACUGUGGGGCUAGAGUACGGAAGAGGCGAGUGGAAUUCCUGGUGUAGCGGUGGAAUGCGCAGAUAUCAGGAGGAACACCAAUAGCGAAGGCAGCUCGCUGGGACGUUACUGACACUGAGACGCGAAAGCGUGGGGAGCGAACAGG